rnacentral:tRNA from 1 species
AGGGAGACCUACCCACUCUUAAAUCGAAAGCACAAUGCGAAUAGGUUAGAGUUGGUCAUCCCAAGGUCGUUCGGAAUGUAAGUGUUGGCUUCUAAGCUAUAAAUGGUUCGGUUCAUGGGCUAUUAGCUCAGGUGGUUAGAGCGCACCCCUGAUAAGGGUGAGGUCCCUGGUUCGAGUCCAGGAUGGCCCACCUUGACCGUCAAGGGGGUUUAGCUCAGUUGGUAGAGCGCCUGCUUUGCAAGCAGGAUGUCAGCGGUUCGAGUCCGCUAACCUCCACUGGAGUUAAUAGAGCAAGUGAGAAGCCAAUGGGUAGAGUCCAGCAACUUAUCUAGGUUUAGCUAGAGAGCCUGCUGGGAUUGACCAGCCAGAACCUUGAAAACUGCAUAGCGAAAGAAGAUUUCUGUCAGGUAGUAGAGAUUCAUUUGACUUUCAGUUAGAUGAGUCAUCACAGACACCAAUAAAUUUUGU